rnacentral:rRNA from 1 species
UACGGGGGGGGCAAGCGUUGUUCGGAAUUACUGGGCGUAAAGGGCUCGUAGGUCGGCCAACUAAGUCAGACGUGAAAUCCCUCGGCUUAACCGGGGAACUGCGUCUGAUACUGGAUUGGCUUGAGUUCGGGAGAGGGAUGCGGAAUUCCAGGUGUAGCGGUGAAAUGCGUAGAUAUCUGGAGGAACACCGGUGGCGAAGGCGGCAUCCUGGACCGACGACUGAACGCU